GAUGAACGCUGGCGGCGUGCUUAACACAUGCAAGUCGAACGGUGAAGGCGGAGCUUGCUCUGCUGGAUCAGUGGCGAACGGGUGAGUAACACGUGAGCAAUCUGCCCCUGACUCUGGGAUAAGCGCUGGAAACGGCGUCUAAUACUGGAUACGAGCUGCGAAGGCAUCUUCAGCAGCUGGAAAGAGCUUCGGUCAGGGAUGAGCUCGCGGCCUAUCAGCUUGUUGGUGAGGUAACGGCUCACCAAGGCGUCGACGGGUAGCCGGCCUGAGAGGGUGACCGGCCACACUGGGACUGAGACACGGCCCAGACUCCUACGGGAGGCAGCAGUGGGGAAUAUUGCACAAUGGGCGAAAGCCUGAUGCAGCAACGCCGCGUGAGGGACGACGGCCUUCGGGUUGUAAACCUCUUUUAGCAGGGAAGAAGCGAAAGUGACGGUACCUGCAGAAAAAGCGCCGGCUAACUACGUG
rnacentral:rRNA from 1 species